UACGAGGGGGGCUAAUGUUGUUCGGAAUCACUGGGCGUAAAGGGAGCGUAGGCGGGUGUUUAAGUUAGGUGUUUAAUCCCAGGGCCCAACCCUGGUCAGGCACCUAAAACUGGACAUCUUGAAUAGUGGAGAGGACGAUGGAAUUGGGGGUGUAGCGGUGGAAUGCGUAGAGAUCCCCAAGAACACCAGUUGCGAAGGCGGUCGUCUGGACACAUAUUGACGCUGAGGCUCGAAAGCAUGGGGAGCAAACAGG
rnacentral:rRNA from 1 species